rnacentral:lncRNA from 1 species
GGCACGCGUCCGUGUUCCUCGUUGGUCAUGGCGGACUACCUGAUUAGCGGAGGCACUUCUUACGUGCCAGACGACGGGCUCACCGCACAGCAGCUCUUCAACUGCGGGGACGGCCUGACCUACAAUGACUUUCUCAUUCUUCCUGGAUAUAUCGACUUCACUGCGGACCAGGUGGACUUGACCUCUGCUCUAACCAAGAAGAUUACUCUGAAGACCCCCUUGGUUUCCUCACCUAUGGACACUGUCACGGAGGCUGGAAUGGCCAUCGCAAUGGCGGAGGCAUUGGCUUCAUCCACCACAACUGCACACCUGAAUUCCAGGCCAAUGAAGUUCGGAAAGUGAAGAUACCGGCCGGAUGGGGAGUCGAUUGGUGGGCAUCAUCUCCUCGAGGGACAUUGACUUCCUCAAGGAGGAAGAGCAUGAUCGCUUCUUGGAAGAGAUCAUGACUAAGAGAGAAGAUUUAGUGGUAGCCCCUGCCGGCGUCACUCUAAAAGAAGCAAAUGAAAUUCUGCAGCGCAGUAAAAAGGGAAAGUUGCCCAUUGUGAAUGAGAGUGAUGAGCUGGUAGCCAUCAUCGCCCGGACAGACCUCAAGAAGAAUCGUGACUACCCACUGGCUUCCAAAGAUACCAAAAAGCAACUACUGUGUGGGGCA